rnacentral:rRNA from 1 species
GGAAGGCACCACCAGAUGUGGAGCCUGCGGCUUAAUUUGACUCAACACGCGAAAACUUACCAGGUCCAGACAUAGUAAGGAUUGACAGAUUGAAGUUCUUUCUUGAUUCUAUGCAUGGUGGUGCAUGGCCGUUCUUAGUUGGUGGAGUGAUUUGUCUGGUUAAUUCCGAUAACGAACGAGACCUCAGCCAUCUAAUUAGCUGUCGCUAACGCGCUAGCGGUUUACCGUUGCGUCUAGUGCUUACAUACGUAAAAACAGCUUCUUAGAGGGACAAUCUGCGCUCAGCAGAUGGAAGUUUGAGGCAAUAACAGGUCAGUGAUGCCCUUAGAUGCUCUGGGCUGCACGCGCGCUACAAUGAUGCAUUCAACGAGUUUUAGCCUGGCUUGACAAGGCCGGGUAAUCUUCAAAGUGCAUCCUAGUGGGGAUAGAUGAUUGCAAUUGUUCAUCUUGAACAAGGAAUAUCUAGUAAACGCAAGUCAUCAACUUGCAUUGAAUACGUCCCUGCCUUUUGUACACACCGCCCGUCGCUCCUACCGAUUGAAUAAUCCGGUGAAUUGAGUGGAUGGUUGGCUGGCCUUUCGGCGUGGUCACUAGAAGCUCUGUAAACCUUAUUAUUUAGAGGAAGANA